rnacentral:misc_RNA from 1 species
GAUGAAGAACGCAGUGAAAUGCGAUAAGUAGUGUGAAUUGCAGAAUUCAGUGAAUCAUCGAAUCUUUGAACGCACAUUGCGCCCCUUGGUAUUCCAUGGGGCAUGCCUGUUCGAGCGUCAUUUGUACCUUCAAGCUUUGCUUGGUGUUGGGUGUUUGUCCCGAGGGACUCGCCUUAAAGUAAUUGGCAGCCAGUGUUUGGUUUUGAAGCGCAGCACAAGUCGCGAUUCAAGGCUACACGCCCGCUUCCACAAGCCUUUUUUCACUUUUGACCUCGGAUCAGGUAGGGAUACCCGCUGAACUUAAGCAUAUCAAUAAGCGGAGGA